GUGUCAGCCGCCGCGGUAAUACGUAGGUGGCAAGCGUUGUCCGGAAUUAUUGGGCGUAAAGCGCGCGCAGGUGGUUUCUUAAGUCUGAUGUGAAAGCCCACGGCUUAACCGUGGAGGGUCAUUGGAAACUGGGAGACUUGAGUGCAGAAGAGGAAAGUGGAAUUCCAAGUGUAGCGGUGAAAUGCGUAGAGAUUUGGAGGAACACCAGUGGCGAAGGCGACUUUCUGGUCUGCAACUGACGCUGAGGCGCGAAAGCAUGGGGAGCAAACAGGAUUAGAUACCCUGGUAGUCCAUGCCGUAAACGAUGAGUGCUAAGUGUUAGGGGGUUUCCGCCCCUUAGUGCUGCAGCUAACGCAUUAAGCACUCCGCCUGGGGAGUACGACCGCAAGGUUGAAACUCAAAGGAAUUGACGG
rnacentral:rRNA from 1 species